GAUGAACGCUGGCGGCGUGCCUAAUACAUGCAAGUCGAGCGAACGGACGAGAAGCUUGCUUCUCUGAUGUUAGCGGCGGACGGGUGAGUAACACGUGGAUAACCUACCUAUAAGACUGGGAUAACUUCGGGAAACCGGAGCUAAUACCGGAUAAUAUUUUGAACCGCAUGGUUCAAAAGUGAAAGACGGUCUUGCUGUCACUUAUAGAUGGAUCCGCGCGGCAUUAGCUAGUUGGUAAGGUAACGGCUUACCAAGGCAACGAUGCAUAGCCGACCUGAGAGGGUGAUCGGCCACACUGGAACUGAGACACGGUCCAGACUCCUACGGGAGGCAGCAGUAGGGAAUCUUCCGCAAUGGGCGAAAGCCUGACGGAGCAACGCCGCGUGAGUGAUGAAGGUCUUCGGAUCGUAAAACUCUGUUAUUAGGGAAGAACAUAUGUGUAAGUAACUGUGCACAUCUUGACGGUACCUAAUCAGAAAGCCACGGCUAACUACGUG
rnacentral:rRNA from 1 species